CCUACGGGUGGCAGCAGUGAGGAAUAUUGGUCAAUGGACGAGAGUCUGAACCAGCCAAGUAGCGUGAAGGAUGACUGCCCUAUGGGUUGUAAACUUCUUUUAUAUGGGACUAAAUUGUGCCACGUGUGGGAUUUUGUAUGUAUCAUAUGAAUAAGGAUCGGCUAACUCCGUGCCAGCAGCCGCGGUAAUACGGAGGAGUCGAGCGUUAUCCGGAUUUAUUGGGUUUAAAGGGAGCGUAGGUGGAUUGUUAAGUCAGUGGUGAAAGUUUGCGGCUCAACCGCAAAAUUGCAGUUGAAACUGGCAGGCUUGAGUACAGUAGAGGUUGGCGGAAUGCGUGGUGUAGCGGUGAAAUGCUUAGAGAUCACGAAGAACUCCGAUUGCGAAGGCAGCUCACUGGACUGCAACUGACACUGAGGCUCGAAAGUGUGGGUAUCAAACAGGAUUAGAUACCCUAGUAGUC
rnacentral:rRNA from 1 species